UGAAAAGUGAUGACGAAGACGGUAUUAAGAAAAUGCUUCAGAGAGCUGGUGCUUGCUGCGAACCAGUGCAAUUUUCUUAAGAUGCCCAGCCCUUCUGAACUGGCCGCCGAAAGUUUUAGUAGGCGGUGCCCGGUUGAAACCGUUAACUUGUUGAGGCUGCUUUUAUUUUGCAGCAAAAGAGGGUGGCACCACGCGUUUAUUCACGUCCCUCAU
rnacentral:ncRNA from 1 species